rnacentral:tRNA from 1 species
UUUGGGGUGGCUCAAUGGGUAGAGCUAAGGGCUCGAGACCAGGAGGUCUGGGUUCAAAUCUCGCAAGA